UACGUAGGGCGCAAGCGUUGUCCGGAAUUAUUGGGCGUAAAGAGCUCGUAGGCGGUUUGUCGCGUCUGCUGUGAAAACCUAAGGCUCAACCUUGGGCUUGCAGUGGGGUACGGGCAGACUAGAGUGCGGUAGGGGAGACUGGAAUUCCUGGUGUAGCGGUGAAAUGCGCAGAUAUCAGGAGGAACACCGAUGGCGAAGGCAGGUCUCUGGGCCGAUUAACUGACACUGGAGAAGCGAAAGCAUGGGGAGCGAACGGG
rnacentral:rRNA from 1 species